rnacentral:rRNA from 1 species
ACUACCCGCUGAACUUAAGCAUAUCAAUAAGCGGAGGAAAAGAAACUAACAAGGAUUCCCCUAGUAACUGCGAGUGAAGAGGGAAGAGCUCAAAUUUAAAAUCUGGCAGUCUCUGGCUGUCCGAGUUGUAAAUUAGAGAAGCGUUAUCCGCGUUGGCCUGUGCAAAAGUCUCUUGGAAAAGGGCAUCAUAGAGGGUGACAAUCCCGUCUUUGGCACAGACUACCAGUGCUGUUGUGAUACGCUUUCGAAGAGUCGAGUUGUUUGGGAAUGCAGCUCUAAAUGGGUGGUAAAUUCCAUCUAAAGCUAAAUAUUGGCGAGAGACCGAUAGCGCACAAGUACCGUGAGGGAAAGAUGAAAAGAACUUUGAAAAGAGAGUUAAACAGUACGUGAAAUUGUUGAAAGGGAAACGCUUGAAGUCAGUCGUGUCCUUCAGGAAUCAACCUGACCUUUUGGUUUGGGCGUACUUUCUGACUGGACAGGCCAGCAUCAAUUUUGACCGUCGGAUAAAGGCCUUGGGAAAGUGGCAUCUCUGGAUGUGUUAUAGCCCAUGGUUUGAUACGAUGGUUGGGAUUGAGGAACUCAGUGUGAAUUGGGGCUUCGGCCCACAUGCACGCACUUAGGAUGCUGGCAUAAU